rfam:Triticum aestivum genome assembly, contig: Triticum_aestivum_CS42_TGACv1_scaffold_376215_5AL
CUUAUACUCCCUCCGUCCUAAAAUAAGUGUCGCUGAUUUAGUGCAAAGUUGUUGCACUAAAUCAGCGACACUUAUUUUAGGACGGAGGGAGUAUUUG